UACGUAGGGGGCAAGCGUUGUCCGGAAUCAUUGGGCGUAAAGAGCGUGUAGGCGGCCCGGUAAGUCCGCUGUGAAAGUCGGGGGCUCAACCCUCGAAUGCCGGUGGAUACUGUCGGGCUAGAGUGCGGAGGAGGCGAGUGGAAUUCCUGGUGUAGCGGUGAAAUGCGCAGAUAUCAGGAGGAACACCAAUUGCGAAGGCAGCUCGCUGGGACGUAACUGACGCUGAGACGCGAAAGCGUGGGGAGCAAACAGG
rnacentral:rRNA from 1 species